rnacentral:tRNA from 1 species
GGUCGUGUAGCUCAACUAGACAGAGCGCUGGUUCCUAAAUCGGAGGAUGCCAGUUCGACUCCGUCCACGAUCA